UACGAAGGGGGCUAGCGUUGCUCGGAAUUACUGGGCGUAAAGCGCACGUAGGCGGCUUUCUAAGUCAGGGGUGAAAUCCUGGAGCUCAACUCCAGAACUGCCUUUGAUACUGGAGAGCUUGAGUCCGGGAGAGGUGAGUGGAACUCCGAGUGUAGAGGUGAAAUUCGUAGAUAUUCGGAAGAACACCAGUGGCGAAGGCGGCUCACUGGCCCGAUACUGACGCUGAGGCACGAAAGCGUGGGGAGCAAACAGG
rnacentral:rRNA from 1 species